UGGGGAAUAUUGGACAAUGGGGGGAACCCUGAUCCAGCCAUGCCGCGUGUGUGAAGAAGGCCUUAUGGUUGUAAAGCACUUUAAGCGAGGAGGAGGCUACUGAGACUAAUACUCUUGGAUAGUGGACGUUACUCGCAGAAUAAGCACCGGCUAACUCUGUGCCAGCAGCNCGGUGAUAACAGAGGGGUGCGAGCGUUAAUCGGAUUUACUGGGCGUAAAGCGUGCGUAGGCGGCUUUUUAAGUCGGAUGUGAAAUCCCCGAGCUUAACUUGGGAAUUGCAUUCGAUACUGGGAAGCUAGAGUAUGGGAGAGGAUGGUAGAAUUCCAGGUGUAGCGGUGAAAUGCGUAGAGAUCUGGAGGAAUACCGAUGGCGAAGGCAGCAUCUGGCCUAAUACUGACGCUGAGGUACGAAGCAUGGGGAGCAAACAGGAUUAGAUACCCUGGUAGUCCAUGCCGUAAACGAUGUCUACUAGCCGUUGGGGCCUUUGAGGCUUUAGUGGCGCAGCUAACGCGAUAAGUAGACCGCCUGGGGAGUACGGUCGCAAGACUAAAACUCAAAGGAA
rnacentral:rRNA from 1 species